ACUCUGGCAUUUCUAAAUGCCACAAACAAUAAAAGCUACACUUUGU
rfam:Kaistia sp. SCN 65-12 ABS35_C0359, whole genome shotgun sequence.